GUGGGCUGCCAUCUAUGGGGUCGCACGGACACGACUGAAGUGACUUAGCAACAGCAGUAGCAGCCAGGUGACGACGUGGACGAAGCUGGAACUGAUGACCAUGUGUGGAUGUGCUGUUUCUGUUGCUUGGUUCUUUCUCAUUUGUGCUGCCCUCUCUCCUCUCAACAUGUGAUCUAACUUGACCCUCAGAACUUCAGGAGGAGCAGGCUGAUUUGACAACACGUGCUGGGUUGAUGGGGAAAGUGUGAGUUGUCUCUUAGGGACAGAAAUGGCAGGAGGGAUGUCCGACUUCCUUCCAAAGGCACCCUGACGUGUUUGUUGAGGACAGCUCUUCCUUGUCAAAAGCUGACAUGUUGACUUAGAUUUUGGGUAUUCUUAAGGUGAUAGCAUGUCACGCGGACAGUGCACGGCCUGCUGGCUGUUCUGGAAGGUUCCACGCACAUCAGGGAAGGCGGAACAUGGUUUCUGGGUUAUCCUUUUGAGGCAAAGCGUUUAUCUCACACCUUUGAUCUAAGUAUUGUGGCUAUGGCUAUAUACUAUUUGAUUUAACUCAUUUAUAAAUAAUAGUGCUGUUUGUCAAAGAAUCGGGGGGGGGUGGGGGAGACUGUUAGUCUAUCACAAAGAAAAACCCAUCACCUAGGAAUUUUUCAUAUUUUGUUUUGUGAGAGUACAACCAAUCAGCAUUUUUACAGUGAGGGAGAAUUUUCUGUGAUUUUGAGAGACCCAAAGCAAACAUUUUUUUUUUUUUUUUAAAUAACUAAAUUCUUUGAAACCUACAAUACAUUUGGAUUACAUCUGCUAAUCAUUCUACUCUGUUGCACAGUAGAGACUUUGGAGUUAUACUAAGAGCAAAAAUUUUGCUUGUGCUUUUAAACUCUCCUAAGUAUAAGAAACUACAUCCUCGUUGAUACAAAGAGGGAUGACACAGUAAGUCCUCAUGAUCCAAUAUUACUGCUAACUCUGAGGCUUUUUCUCCCUUUUUUUUUUUUUUCAUUUAAGAUCAUAUAAAAUUUAGCUUACAAAAAGGAUCCCAUAUGUUGUUGUGUAACUCAAAGUAAACAUUUUUAAGUGUCAGAAAGCUUUAAAACCCAAACAAGCUGUAGUCUCAUUAGAGAGCACACUGGCUAGAAUUCACCAAUCAAAAUAUCCUAUAAAUAUUUAUUGUAAAUUUGUUGUAAACAGGAGAGCAAGGAAAGGUAUGUGUGUAAUUCAAUAAAUACCAAGCUCUGGGUUUCUGCCUUGUUUAAUUCCAAGAUGUUUGAAGUUACAUAAGCAUACCCUGACUCGUGUUAUCAGGAUUUAUGAAAUCUCCCUUGUAAAUUCGGUUUCUCUUCCUUGCAGCUCUGAUUAUGGGAAAGGAGCACAGUGGAGUUGUGGAUUAAGCACCGAUCCCUUCUCGACAAGGUGCUUAUUUCUCUGAACCUCAGUUUUUCUCCUCUAAAUUAGGGAUAUCUUGAUUCUCAUUUUACUACUUAUAAAUGCAUGAAGAUUAAUCAUUUACUGUGUAAAAUUAACUUUGGGAGUUAUAUUUGUCAUUUCCAACAAUUUAAAAAAAUUUUUUAAGGAAAAAAAGUAACUCUUGGCAAGCCAUUUAUUUACUGGAUUUAAUUUUAUCCAUUUUAAACCAUCUUAGACAUUUAAAACUAUUAUAGAAAGGUUAUAUGAAAAUGAUAGAACUCAUUGGACUGAAGAGUAAGUACUUUUUAAAAUAGUUAUGGAGGUUAAAGUAUUAAAAAUUAAUGCUCACAGGAAGAAAAACCCCUGAUGCUGAUUUUAUAUUAAAAUGUGUUACUUUGCUGACUCUUCAGAGUUAAGUAUAAGGGAUACGCCCUGAUACUGACCUUCCUAUCGAGGACCUGGUUAUGACAUGGUUUUUGGUCUAAGCUUCCAGGCUGCUAAUUACACGAUCAGGUUUUAGUUGUAUCUUUUAUGCUUCAUCCGUUCUGGUGAAUUUAAAAAAGACCUUGGAAAAACCAAUCAGAAUUGACUCAGAGGAAGGCACUUCAUUCAGAUUAUGAAUCAACACAUUCAUUUCGUGGAUGGAAUACAUUUUUCUUAAAAAAAAAAAAAAACUAUUUUGGCUGCACUGGGCGUGUGUUGCAGCAUGCAGGCUCUUUGUUCUGUGGCGCGUGGACUUUCUCUUGUGGCCACGGGCUCUAGAGCGCACAGGUUCAGUUGCUGCAGCGCGGCGCGCUCUCUGGUUACUGCACAGGCUUACUUGCAUGUGGAAUCGUAGUUCCCCGACCAGGGAUCAAACCCACAUCCCCUGUGCUGGUAGGUGGAUUCUUAACCACUGGACCACCAGGGAAGUCCCUGGAAUACCUUUUUGCAUUAGCUGUUUCUACUUCUAGGGGAUCAGAUGCUUCUGCUCAUUUUUAUUUUAAAUGACCUGUGGCUGGUCAGUGAAAAAAAUAAUUACGGACAGGGCUUCAGUGAUAAUAAAUGGCAGAAUAAAUCGACUCCAGUAAUAAUGACAUGCGCUUACAUUUUGCAGUAUUUUAUAAUUUGCGAAAGUUUCACCCAUUUUUACCACAUUUUAUGCAGAAUAUGUGUAUAGAUUAGUACAUUAUUAAAUUUUCAAAGAUCUAUACCUUUUCUUCCAAGAGUGGAAGCAAUGUCUUUUAAUUAUAAAUGAUAACAGUCCAAAUAACACUAAGUUUUUAGCUUCUAGUUUUAGCUCUUGUCUUUCAGAAAUAAUGCUUUAUUCUUUUUAUUCAUAUAACUAAAAUUCCUUCUCUAUUGCUGCACAUAGAACUUGAACAAAAAGUCACGUUCUAACGGAAUAUAGAGAUGCUAUUGCCAUUGAGGAUAACAAUAUGUGUAUCCCAUAUCCAGAAAUCAAGUACAUUUAUUCAAUUUGGGUGUUCUUCUUCUUUAGAAUUAUUGAAGUGAAGUGAUAAAUCAUUCAGUUGUGUCUGGCUCUUUGCGACCCCAUAGACUUUCCCAGGCAAGAAUACUGGAGUGGGUUGCUAUUUCCUACUCCAGGGGAAUUUUCCCUACCCAGGGAUCGAACCCAGGUCUUCUGCUUUGCAGGCAGAUUCUUUACCAUCUGAGCCACCAGGGAAGCCCUUUAGAAUUAUUAGUAGAGUAGAAUUCAUGUGAUAUAAUAAGCAUAAAAUUCUUCCACCCAUGCAUUGAUAGUUUGCCCAAAAUGACUAUACCUGAAAUGUUCAAAAUGCCUAACCUUUGGUGACAAGUUCAUUGAGUUUUAUUCUUUGUGACUGUGGAACAAACAUUCUUUUUAAGAAAGCAGUCAAAUUUGGUCUUACUAUUUUAAGAGUAAAGAAGUGUGGUGUCAGAUAUAAACUAGCCUAUUAAUCCUUGCUGAUAAAUGGCAAGUGGGUAAAAAGUGUUAACUGUAGCUCUUCAGAGCAACUUACUUAUAUUCAACAUUUCUGUAGGAAAGCAUGAUUUUAGUAGAAAUCAUUUACUUGAAACUCAGCUUAGAAAAACAGGCACUUCUUAAAUUUUCUGUUCUUAAUUAUCAGUCACAAGUUAUUUUGAUACUAUAAUAUUCACGGUGAUUAUAAAGAGUAGGCAUUUUGAAAAGAUGUCAGCAGGUAGAAAAACCGCUUUAAAAAUCAUCCUACUAUGUGAGAUUCACUUCCACCAUCAAUGGUUUGGUUUUGCUUCUCAGGGUCAUCCUUAGGGACAUUUACUAGGAUAGCAUUUUGUUUUGUUUUAGUACUUACGUGAAUCUUAAAAGGUUAGUGAUACGUCAGCAGUUGUCUCCUUCCCCUGGUCUUGGUUUGCACAUAGGACUCCCUUGGAAUUCUGCUCUUCCCAGUUGAUUUUUGUCCAAAGUGCUAAUUUGGAAGCUCACAGGCAAACUAAGGGGCGGAGGGGGAGGCAUGUAUCUUUCCUUUAAGUCAGACGAAAAUUCUCUGAAGAUGGGUUGAAAUCCACCCUCCCCCCUUAUAUAUAAUAUCCAGGGUGACUUUUCUGGGUACUGGAGCCAUGAGCACCUCGUUACCCUUCACUCACUCAAGCAUUUCACUUUCCUUCCAUCCUUGGAAUCCCAAGGCCCCCUGGCUGGAUCCCUGCAUGAGACCCGCUGGCCUUGGGCCCUUCUGAAGACCUGGCCUCACGCAUUCUGUGUCAGCGGCUAAGGAGCUGCUAAACCCCUGGCGUGCGUGCCAAGUUGCUUUAUCUUUGCAACCCUAUGGACUGUAGCCCACUAGGCUCCUCUGUCCAUGGGAUUCUCCAGGCAAGAAUACUGGAGUGGGUUGCCAUGCCCUCCUCCAGGGGAUCUUCCCAACCUAGGGAUCGAACCCGCAUCUCUUAGGUCUCCUGCAUUGACAGGCAGGUUCUUUACCACUAGCACCAAACCUCUGGCAGGCACUGCCAAUGAAGACCCUGGCAGAGGGAGGGGGACAUGCGGGCAUGAUAUAUGAAGCUGGAACAUGGAGUCACUUUCUGUUUAGGAAGCAUGGCCCCUGGCACUUUCCCCUUCGCUAGGCUCCAGCCUUGCUGGCUUUUUUUGUGCCAGGAACACACUGGGCGUUUCCCAGCCUCCACUGCUUUGCUCUGAUUUUUGCUUUUUUCUGCCCAGAACUCCUGCUGCUGAUCUGUCUCUUCAUUCAGGUGUCAUCUGAUGCUGCUUCCUCAAAGUGACCUUCCACCCCAGGAUGGGGCUUGCCUUUACCUUCCCCGCGGCACUUUUCCUGUCUGAUGGCACCUCCUUCAUCCAUUCAUUUACUUUUCUGCUCUGUGGACCUCGCUCUUCCCACUCCCUCACCUCCCCCCCGCCACAUGCACUGAACAAACCUCAGAGUGUGGACACCUUCUGUGUCUGCCCACGACUGCCACUCCUGUCUUAGGAGAGCUGUGCCCAGGUGGUAGGCAGACAUCAAAUAUCAAGUGAAUGACUGAGCCAGGCAGGCUUCCAGCCCUGCCUUAGCAGCGUUUAUCAGCCGGGGCUGCAGGGGCCAACCUAGAAGUUCUUCUUCCCAUAAGCCUGGAAUCUGUCCACCAGCGCAGGAGGUGCAAGAGAAGCGGGUUCGACGCCUGGGUCAGGAAGACCCCCUGGAGGAGGAAAUGCCAACCCUUCCAGUAUCCUUCUCUGGGAAACCCCAUGGACAGAGGAGCCUGGGGGGUUACAGCCCAGGGGUUGCACAGAGUUGAACACGGCCGAGCACACAGCACACACAGAAGCCUUACAGUGUAAGGCAGGGCUUCUGUGGGAAAGGUGCUUCUCUUUGCAAACAUUUGCCGGAGAGAGAAACUUUGGGAAGGCAGCUUUCCUCUCUUCUGUUCCGGGUUAGCUCUCCAUCUGCGACAACAGCUGAUCCAGUUUAUUCCUUGAGAGCAAAGAGAUUCUCCAGGCAAGAGUACUGGAGUGGGUUGCCGUCUCCUUCUGUGGACUGCCACCGCUGAAUUCCACCGAGACUUGCCAAGGGGCCAGAUGUGGCCGAGUUUGCCAGGUUUAGCUGAGCGAGUGGUGCAGUGAACUGAGGUAACACGUCCCUGGUAACACAUUUCUGUUCUGUUUGUGCCACCUUUUUUGGUAAUGGAAGCCGCGUAGUUCAGAGAAGAGGGGCAAGGGCUAGGGAGGCCGAAAACAAGUUUUCUUAUGUUGCUUUCAUCCUCUUUAAAAAGGGACAAAGUGUGGUUAGCGGAGAGAAGUAGAUCAUGUGGCAGAAAAGAAAUGCUCUUUCAUAAGAAAGAUGGCUCAGUCCCCAAGACUGGCUGGUAAAAGGAAGUUCUGCUACAUGAAAACAUUUUUUUUUACACAAAUCUACUUCUCUUUAAUCUUUUUGUUUUUUAUUGAUUAGCAUCUGUAAUUUGCCAUAACGAUCCAUGUUUCCCUUUACCUGAAAGAGUGGGAAAAACAAAGAAUGAAAAAAUAAUUAAUUGCCCAAUCUAUUUAAUAUUGAAAGGUGGGAGUGUCUCCUGGUCACAGAGGCAAAAAUAAAUAAAGCUUGUCAGAGCAACGAAGGCAAAUCAGUGACUAAUUCACUGUGAUCUGCAAUAGAAAUGCUGGACUUGCCCUGUCGCCCAUACAAACAAACCCUGGGAGCAUCCUGACUCCUUGAGUGAGGUGCCGGAGCCUAAGUCCGGCUGGAUCGUCCAUCCUGCCUCGCUCAGCCUCACGCAGAUGAACAAACAGCUAAUUGUUCUCGGAUCCACUGCUGCUUGAUCAAGGACACCAGACGAACAAGUCACACUGGUGACCUCAGGGCAGAAUUCUCCCAACCAGUCAAGCCCCGACACUGACCCAACAGCUGAGGGCCUUUCUCCUGAAACACUGAAAGCCGUCAGAAAGUUGCUGUGGAACCGCAAGGGCAGCUGCCAGCUCAGAGCCUGGCAGGGGCAUUCCCCCGGAGGCACCCGAAGUAGCAGACGCUGCCUUGUUGACAGCCCACCACCACGUUGGUUCCCAGCCCUCAGCACGCACCACAGAUCCAAUCUUCCAAGCAGUAAUGGCCCAAGGGGCACAGCUCUCACAGCCAGGACCCCUCCACCUCUUCUCUUUGACGCGAUUUCCCUCAGUGGGUCACUGUCCCUGGACUUGCUGGAACUUCAUAAGGCAGGGGAUUUGGGUGGAAGAUUGACCGUUCUAGUGAACCCUCUAGGCCCCAUGAGGGGUGACCUCCUAACCAACAUGUUUCUCCCCAUUCCUGUUUUUUCUACUUCAGCCACAAAGUGAAUCUUCUGCUUUCAGCCCAGCUCUUUCAGCUGUUGGAACGGGGCUGGUUAAGGUGUGAAGAUCAUCUCUUAGGAGAUGAUUCUUGCCAGUGACAGGCGAGGCUGAAGGAAGGUGCUAUUUCUAGCACGGAGCAGAGCCCCAGAACCUGUGACACCAGAUUGCAUUCAGUCAAAGUCCCUGUGCUUCUCAUCUCUGCCACCUCUGUCCCUCCUGUCUCAGAAACCAUCCAGGCAGGGGUUCCUCUCACAUACCCUCACUUGUAUUCCCAUCAAGGAGUUCCUUCUGCAAGAACCAUGUCCCCAGCACCCCUUCUCUGAACUUGUGGCUUGCCCCUGCGUCUCCUGAAAGCUCUGACUUCCUUCUGCAAGUCUGGCCGUACAUGAAAUGUACCUAUUAUGUAGAGAGGGUAUCUUCUUCCUUUGCAGUUUCUACACCCCAGAUGCUCCUGGACUUGGAGAUUGUCAGAGCAUCUUGCGACUCUCCGUCUCUUCUCCCAUCAUACUAAACUUUCCUCACCUGGAGUUUCAGGCGGUCCUGCCCCUUCCCUUCCUGGUCGUUUGGGUGGACUUUUCUGCCCUUGCUUGCUCUGAUCUGCCGCGUGAACCUUCAGCCUCGCAGUGGACUCUGUGCUUUCACUGGCUUGUCUUGCUUUUCCUUCAGGAGUAUUUUAGUGUUCUUGUUCACCCACUCAAAUCCUGUCUCACUCGGCUGUGUUAUCUUUUCCCCUAGUCCUUUCCCUGAAGACUCCUGCCAGUAGAGAUUUCUAUUUAAGUUUUGCUGUAGCCCCUCCUUGGCACAUGAUUACAUGCCGUGCUUGUGACAGCUGAGCAUUACUUUGUGUUAUAACUUAAAUCCGGUAAUGCUGUGUAACUUUCUGAUGUGUACCUGCCAUGUGCCCAUUUAGAUGGUCGAGCUCUCUUUGAGGAUGGAACCUUCUGGGAACUUUGCUUUGAUAUAAUUCUUAUCAAACUUAUAUUUAAACAUCUGAUAAAUGUUUGUGAAAUGAAUUCAUCAAUCAUGAAGAAUAUCUUAAGCUGUUAGGGAGCCUGGCUUUCUUUUAUUGCUGGUUUGACAGCUAUAGCCUUUUCUAAACAAAUUUCCUGGUGUGACCUCUUAGUUCUCAGCUUUCAUUUGCUGCAUGAUUUGAGAGACCUACAGUAAAGUCAUUUGUGAUUAUAAGAAAAAAAAAAGUUUUUAAUUAAGCAUUGUAGCACAAAGAAAAAGUCAUAGUGGAAUCAAAGUAGUGUCUAUAUUCACUAUCUGUAUAAAAAAAAAAAAGGAGAUACAGUGUCCUUAACAGAAAGCCUAAUGUUCCCUGUGUUGAUCACUGCAAAAUGUUUCUUUUGUCUUU